rnacentral:lncRNA from 1 species
GGACUACAGGUGUGCACCAUCAUGGCCAGCUAACUUUGUACUGUCUGUAGAGACGGAAUUUUGCUAUGUUACCCAGGCUGGUCUCAAACCCGAGGGCUCAAGCAAUCCUCCUGCCUCAGCCUCCCAAAGUCCUGGGAUUAAAGGCAUGAGUCACCAUGCCCAGCCAGUGGUUGAAACUCUUAUUAUGGCCAUUCUGCGGAUGAGAAGACUGAGUCAUCAGGAGGCAGGGCUUGCCAAGGUCACUGUGUUGGGGAAACACAGUCAGGAUAUGAACUCAGGCUCUUGGGGUCCCUGCUGGUCACUGUCACCCCGUGGCCCUUCUGAAGAAUGUCACAGGAAAGCAAAGCUGAGAGGGCCUCGUGAACUCAUCCAUGCCUGUCUCCCACACUGACCUGCACCUUUGGUCCCAGAGGUGCUUAUGAAAGACAGAUGCUCAGAUCCCUCCUUAGAGAGUCAGAUUCAGGAGGUCUGAUGUGAAUCCCAGAGACCUGGAAUUUUACUGAUGGCCCAGAUAAUUUUUAUGGUCAGAUACUGACCUAAUUCCACCCAGUUUCCCACUAAAUUUUGUAAGUGAGGAAAGCAAUGCAGAAGAGUUACAGGAAGGCCCAGUGUUACAUGCCCAGGUCAUGGCCCAGGGCCAAGCCAGCCCCAAAGGUGGGACCCUGGUUCUCUUAGCCUUCCCUGACACCUGUCACCCUGGCUGCUGCUCCAGGGAACCCUCUCUCGGGAGAAGCUUGAGCAAAUGUUGAUCUUCCCAGAACAGGGGUCUACAGAAUCCAGAGGUGUGGAAACAGUGGGAUGCUAAUAGCUGUUAGAAUUUUGGUUCAUCCAUAGAUCCAAACUUUGAAGCAUUGAGACAAAAGAUAGCUGUGCUUUGAUAGAGAAAAUAGAUAAGAAAAGGGUGUGAAAUCUGAGUGUCACAACAGAGGCAGAAGCAGAUGGAAACUAGGUUUCUGGAGUAGGGGAGGUGGGGACCAACUUUGUUUCUCCUGCUUUUACCUUGUCCUAGUUGGAAUCAUCUCUCCUCAUCCCAGUUACAAAGCCAGAGAGGAUUUACAGUCAAAGCAUCUACACCAGCAGUCCCUCUUACUGACACUGAUCAGACAGGGAGGUAGAACUGAUGGAAAACACAGCACAGCAUCAGAAGCAUAGCUUGGGAGCUUAUUAGCAGCAAAGUGCUGUUCUCUGCGGCAUUUUCUGGUGCUCCAGAAAUACAUCCCCUUGGAUGGAGAUACUACCGGGCCAUCUAAUGUGAAAUUUUCUGCUGGAGUGGUUAACGCUGGAGAUUUCCUUGAAAAACAUCGCCACUGAGAGAGGCUGGCUUCAAGUUUCAUAUAUAUGUAUAUGUAUCUGUGUGUGUGUGUGUGUAUGUGUGUGUCCAUGUGUGUGUAUAUAUAUUUUUAUAUAUAAAUACAUGUGUAUUUAU